rnacentral:rRNA from 1 species
CACGUAGGGACCAAGCGUUGUCCGGAUUUAUUGGGCGUAAAGAGCUCGUAGGCGGUUCGGUAAGUCGGGUGUGAAAACUCUGGGCUCAACUCAGAGAUGCCACCCGAUACUGCCGUGACUUGAGUCCGGUAGGGGAGCACGGAAUUCCUGGUGUAGCGGUGAAAUGCGCAGAUAUCAGGAGGAACACCGGUGGCGAAGGCGGUGCUCUGGGCCGGUACUGACGCUGAGGAGCGAAAGCGUGGGGAGCGAACAGG